rnacentral:rRNA from 1 species
AUUGAACGCUGGCGGCAGGCUUAACACAUGCAAGUCGAACGAGUGGCGGACGGGUGAGUAAUGUCUGGGAAACUGCCCGAUGGAGGGGGAUAACUACUGGAAACGGUAGCUAAUACCGCAUACCAUCAGAUGAACCCAUAUGGGAUUAGCUGGUAGGUAAGGUAACGGCUUACCUAGGCGACGAUCCCUAGCUGGUCUGAGAGGAUGAUCAGCCACACUGGGACUGAGACACGGCCCAGACUCCUACGGGAGGCAGCAGUGGGGAAUAUUGCACAAUGGGCGCAAGCCUGAUGCAGCCAUGCCGCGUGUAUGAAGAAGGCCUUCGGGUUGUAAAGUACUUUCAGUCGGGAGGCGUUACCGACAGAAGAAGCACCGGCUAACUCCGUGCCAGCAGCCGCGGUAAUUC